rnacentral:lncRNA from 1 species
UUAAACCUCCUGCAAGUUUUCAACACAAUUCAAUAUUCCAACCAAGUUCAGUUGUACAAACAUACAAAAUUUAACCAUUAAUAAACAUUACAUUUUAAAUCGAACCAUAACAUAUAUUUACAUGGUGACGCCCCAUUACAUAAGUCGUCUAUACAUGCCAUAAUUUCCAGAAUACUAGUAGCCAAAAUACUCAAACGUGGAUGAUAGUGUAGAUGAUUGUCUGACUCCGUCCAAAUUCCGAGUUGAUGGAAAUCACUAUAAUCAAGGGAAAAAUAAAAACGAGUAAGCAUAUAGCUUAGUAAGUAAACAUAUGACAAAUAAAUAAUUUCUCACAUGACUACACCAUAGUAUAAAUUUAUUCACAAAUAAAUUUCAUUAUUUGUGUAAUUUCCAGCAAGCUGGUUUUCUGCGUCAUGACCACUAAUUUAUUUUUAUUCGGAGCUACAUGGCUUCAAAUUGAAUUCUGUAAAUUUUUCAUGAAACUAGACCCAUAUAUCUUUCUAUUUCAGAAUUUUUGAUCGAGCCAAUUAGUACAGUUUAUUCUUUAAAUCUUCCCCUGUUUCACUGCCCAACAGUCCUGACCUCCCCUUACAAAAUUUCACAUAACUCUCUGUACAAGUUUCAAAAAAUGUUCUCGUUUGUUUCUAUUAAAAAUAGACUCAAAAAGGAAUCCAUUCAUAUAGAUUUCAAGCCAUAAUUAUUUUUUUUAAAUUUUUGGUGAUUUUCCAAAGUUGGAAUAGGAGAUUUCAAAAUCAAUCCAGCCCUGUCUCAGUAAAAUUCAAAUAUCUCCAAAAAUACAACUCUUUUGCUUACUAUAUUUCUUUCAUAUGAAAAUAGACUCAUUCAGCUUUAAUUUCAUAUAUUAUUUAACCUCUAAUUCAUUUUCCACCAUUUAUGGUGAUUUUUCAAAGUUGCCCAACUGCUAUCAUUCAAAACAGUUGGCAUUCAAAUUGUCUCUUUUUGUGUUUUUGAUUUUCCUCCCAUCUUAUACAUGGGUUGAUUAAUUAUCAAACCCAAUAUUCCUCCCAUAAACUUGUCCACCACAUAUAUGAAUAUUCACCUUCCCAAUUUACUCGUUGAACACUCGGAAUGUUAACCGUUAUCGGUGGAUUCCGCACUUAGCAACCACCAAUGAAUCGAGGAAUCAGCACACAGCAACCCAUUGGGGGAAUCAGCACUUAGCAACCCCCUUCACAUUUCAGAUGCGGUGGAAUCAGCACUUAGCAACCACCAAAUGAGUCGGGGAGUCAGCACUUAGCAACCCCUCGGGGGAAUCAGCACUUAGCAACCCCUCGGGGGAAUCAGCACUUAGCAACCCCCUUUCACAUUUAAAAUAUGGUGGGAUCAGCACUUAGCAACCACGAAUAGGUAGGGGAAUCAGCACACAGCAACCCCUUUAUAUGCAAUAUGCUCCGGCCUAUUCCGAGUGUUCAACCAAAAACCGUGUUUUGCAACCCCUUACCACCUUUCUCGAUUUAACAACAUUUUUGGAAUCUUGCCAAACAUUUAUUUUAUAUUCAAAUACAUCUCAACACAUAUCAAAUAAUACCAAAAUAAUACAUUAAGUCACGUGUUUACUUACCUCGGUGCAAAAUAUCGUAAUUUUACAAUUCACUCAACUAUCUUUUCUUUUCCUCGUUUGAGAUAAUCUUCCCGUUUUUCUUGAUCUAUAAUGGCAAAUUUAACUCAUUUAAUGUUCACAUUUAUUGAAAUAAUCCACCACCCAACUUUUUGAAAAAUUACAAUUUUACCCCCAAACUUCUGCAUAAUUACACUUUUGUCCCCAAGCUCGGGAAUUAAACUUCAUCACUUAUUCUUAUGUUUUAUGACAUGCUGAACAUUUUUCGCUUCUAUGGCAACAUCAAAUUCUCACUCUAGCACAUACUUUUGAACAUUAACAAUUUUUACCGAUUAUGUCAAUUUACCCGUUUUCGUUUAAAAUCGCUUAGCAAAAGUUGUUUAACAUAAUUUCUAGCUUCAUAUUCCACCAUAAAACAGAAAAAUAAACACUUUUCACCUAUGGGUAUUUUUCCAAAUAUAAACCCUAACAUGAAUUAUUGAUAAAAUAAGCUAAACCGAGCUACGAGGAUUUCAAAAAUGCAAAGAACAUUAAAAACGGGGCUAAGAUGCACUUACUAUGAGCUUGAGAAAGCAAAGAAACCCUAGCUAUGGUGUCUUCUAAAAUUUGGCAGCAAC